GAGAGGUACUUCAGGGUAGGGUGAAUUCUUGUAAUCUUGAAGGNCCCCCAGUGGGGAAGGCGUCUCACCAGAACGGACCUGACGGCAAGGGACGAAAGCUAGGGGCACGAACCGGAUUAGAUACCCGGGUAGUCCUAGCCGUAAACGAUACUCGCUAGGUGUCGGCCACGGUGCGACCGUGGUCGGUGCCGUAGGGAAGCCGUGAAGCGAGCCACCUGGGAAGUACGGCCGCAAGGCUGAAACUUAAAGGAAUUGGCGGGGGAGCACCACAACGGGUGGAGCUUGCGGUUUAAUUGGAUUCAACGCCGGAAAUCUUACCGGGACCGACAGCAAUAUGAAGGCCAGGCUGAAGACUUUGCCGGAUUAGCUGAGAGGUGGUGCAUGGCCGUCGUCAGUUCGUACUGUGAAGCAUCCUGUUAAGUCAGGCAACGAGCGAGACCCACGCCCACAGUUGCCAGCGUACUCUCCGGAGUGACGGGUACACUGUGGGGACCGCCGCUGCUAAAGCGGAGGAAGGAAUGGGCAACGGUAGGUCAGUAUGCCCCGAAUAUCCCGGGCUACACGCGAGCUACAAUGGUUGGUACAAUGGGUAUCUACCCCGAAAGGGGAUGGCAAUCUCCUAAAGCCAAUCUUAGUCCGGAUUGAGGGCUGCAACUCGCCCUCAUGAAGCUGGAAUCCGUAGUAAUCGCGUUUCAACAGAACGCGGUGAAUACGUCCCUGCUCCUUGCACACA
rnacentral:rRNA from 1 species